GGGUUGUGAGGUUAAGCGACUAAGCGUACACGGUGGAUGCCCUGGCAGUCAGAGGCGAUGAAGGACGUGCUAAUCUGCGAUAAGCGUCGGUAAGGUGAUAUGAACCGUUAUAACCGGCGAUUUCCGAAUGGGGAAACCCAGUGUGUUUCGACACACUAUCAUUAACUGAAUCCAUAGGUUAAUGAGGCGAACCGGGGGAACUGAAACAUCUAAGUACCCCGAGGAAAAGAAAUCAACCGAGAUUCCCCCAGUAGCGGCGAGCGAACGGGGAGCAGCCCAGAGCCUGAAUCAGUGUGUGUGUUAGUGGAAGCGUCUGGAAAGGCGCGCGAUACAGGGUGACAGCCCCGUACACAAAAAUGCACAUACUGUGAGCUCGAUGAGUAGGGCGGGACACGUGGUAUCCUGUCUGAAUAUGGGGGGACCAUCCUCCAAGGCUAAAUACUCCUGACUGACCGAUAGUGAACCAGUACCGUGAGGGAAAGGCGAAAAGAACCCCGGCGAGGGGAGUGAAAAAGAACCUGAAACCGUGUACGUACAAGCAGUGGGAGCCUCUUUUAUGGGGUGACUGCGUACCUUUUGUAUAAUGGGUCAGCGACUUAUAUUCUGUAGCAAGGUUAACCGAAUAGGGGAGCCGAAGGGAAACCGAGUCUUAACCGGGCGUUAAGUUGCAGGGUAUAGACCCGAAACCCGGUGAUCUAGCCAUGGGCAGGUUGAAGGUUGGGUAACACUAACUGGAGGACCGAACCGACUAAUGUUGAAAAAUUAGCGGAUGACUUGUGGCUGGGGGUGAAAGGCCAAUCAAACCGGGAGAUAGCUGGUUCUCCCCGAAAGCUAUUUAGGUAGCGCCUCGUGAAUUCAUCUCCGGGGGUAGAGCACUGUUUCGGCAAGGGGGUCAUCCCGACUUACCAACCCGAUGCAAACUGCGAAUACCGGAGAAUGUUAUCACGGGAGACACACGGCGGGUGCUAACGUCCGUCGUGAAGAGGGAAACAACCCAGACCGCCAGCUAAGGUCCCAAAGUCAUGGUUAAGUGGGAAACGAUGUGGGAAGGCCCAGACAGCCAGGAUGUUGGCUUAGAAGCAGCCAUCAUUUAAAGAAAGCGUAAUAGCUCACUGGUCGAGUCGGCCUGCGCGGAAGAUGUAACGGGGCUAAACCAUGCACCGAAGCUGCGGCAGCGACACUGUGUGUUGUUGGGUAGGGGAGCGUUCUGUAAGCCUGUGAAGGUGUACUGUGAGGUAUGCUGGAGGUAUCAGAAGUGCGAAUGCUGACAUAAGUAACGAUAAAGCGGGUGAAAAGCCCGCUCGCCGGAAGACCAAGGGUUCCUGUCCAACGUUAAUCGGGGCAGGGUGAGUCGACCCCUAAGGCGAGGCCGAAAGGCGUAGUCGAUGGGAAACAGGUUAAUAUUCCUGUACUUGGUGUUACUGCGAAGGGGGGACGGAGAAGGCUAUGUUGGCCGGGCGACGGUUGUCCCGGUUUAAGCGUGUAGGCUGGUUUUCCAGGCAAAUCCGGAAAAUCAAGGCUGAGGCGUGAUGACGAGGCACUACGGUGCUGAAGCAACAAAUGCCCUGCUUCCAGGAAAAGCCUCUAAGCAUCAGGUAACAUCAAAUCGUACCCCAAACCGACACAGGUGGUCAGGUAGAGAAUACCAAGGCGCUUGAGAGAACUCGGGUGAAGGAACUAGGCAAAAUGGUGCCGUAACUUCGGGAGAAGGCACGCUGAUAUGUAGGUGAAGUCCCUCGCGGAUGGAGCUGAAAUCAGUCGAAGAUACCAGCUGGCUGCAACUGUUUAUUAAAAACACAGCACUGUGCAAACACGAAAGUGGACGUAUACGGUGUGACGCCUGCCCGGUGCCGGAAGGUUAAUUGAUGGGGUCAGCGCAAGCGAAGCUCUUGAUCGAAGCCCCGGUAAACGGCGGCCGUAACUAUAACGGUCCUAAGGUAGCGAAAUUCCUUGUCGGGUAAGUUCCGACCUGCACGAAUGGCGUAAUGAUGGCCAGGCUGUCUCCACCCGAGACUCAGUGAAAUUGAACUCGCUGUGAAGAUGCAGUGUACCCGCGGCAAGACGGAAAGACCCCGUGAACCUUUACUAUAGCUUGACACUGAACAUUGAGCCUUGAUGUGUAGGAUAGGUGGGAGGCUUUGAAGUGUGGACGCCAGUCUGCAUGGAGCCGACCUUGAAAUACCACCCUUUAAUGUUUGAUGUUCUAACGUGGACCCGUGAUCCGGGUUGCGGACAGUGUCUGGUGGGUAGUUUGACUGGGGCGGUCUCCUCCUAAAGAGUAACGGAGGAGCACGAAGGUUGGCUAAUCCUGGUCGGACAUCAGGAGGUUAGUGCAAUGGCAUAAGCCAGCUUGACUGCGAGCGUGACGGCGCGAGCAGGUGCGAAAGCAGGUCAUAGUGAUCCGGUGGUUCUGAAUGGAAGGGCCAUCGCUCAACGGAUAAAAGGUACUCCGGGGAUAACAGGCUGAUACCGCCCAAGAGUUCAUAUCGACGGCGGUGUUUGGCACCUCGAUGUCGGCUCAUCACAUCCUGGGGCUGAAGUAGGUCCCAAGGGUAUGGCUGUUCGCCAUUUAAAGUGGUACGCGAGCUGGGUUUAGAACGUCGUGAGACAGUUCGGUCCCUAUCUGCCGUGGGCGCUGGAGAACUGAGGGGGGCUGCUCCUAGUACGAGAGGACCGGAGUGGACGCAUCACUGGUGUUCGGGUUGUCAUGCCAAUGGCACUGCCCGGUAGCUAAAUGCGGAAGAGAUAAGUGCUGAAAGCAUCUAAGCACGAAACUUGCCCCGAGAUGAGUUCUCCCUGACCCUUUAAGGGUCCUGAAGGAACGUUGAAGACGACGACGUUGAUAGGCCGGGUGUGUAAGCGCAGCGAUGCGUUGAGCUAACCGGUACUAAUGAACCGUGAGGCUUAACCUUACAACGCCGAAGGUGUUU
rnacentral:rRNA from 3 species